AAAAGCUCCAAUUCAUCUCGACCUGCGACUGCAUCUUCAGUCAUCAUCUUUUUUCGCUGUGGUCCCAGUCCGUCAUCAGAGGUAGUCUUACUGCCAGCACCUGGAUCAGCAACUUCAUCGCUGUGGUCAUCGAGCGCAUUGAACGUCUCUUGAAUAAAUGGAUGUUGCAUGAGUGCAAACCUCAAAUUUGGCUUCUCCUCUCUCUGUCUCUCUCUCACUAUCCUUCUCAUCCUCUCUCUCUCUGUCUCUCUCUCUCUUUCUCUCUCUCUCUCUGAACGUUGUUGGCUGAGGGAACAUGGACAGAACAUGGCUAAACAUGGAGCAGAUGUAGGUAGAUCCUGGACAAGGAUGAGCCCAGGGGAACCCAGGAGAGAUGUUAUCAUGACUGGAUGGAUGUGCAGUGAGCACAUUUUUGAUACUGUGAAAGUUUGGAUCUCACAACCUCUGUUGUUACAGUACCAAUUCAGUCACUGGAUCCUCCAAUGACCACACAUAGGCUGCUAUCAUUUUCUCAUACAGCUACAGCAAGGACAGCAUAAUGCAUGCACAGCAUGUCGUUGGGUGUGGCCAAAGGGAUUUGUGAACUCUGCAACAGCCUCUCUCCGUAUGAUCACAGCACUGUCGUGUGUUAAUAGGCUUGAAAUUAGAGACCUGUAUUAGAGACCUAGAUCUAUGGGCUAUAUUUUAACGAUUUAAGCACUCGGUUGAAAGCGUAUGGCGCAAGUGCAUUUAGGGCGUGUCCAAAUCCACUUCUGCUAGUUUAAUAUUUUUUUAAAAUACAUGUCAUAAUGGUUAGUUAUAAUAUUGGUAAUAUAAUAUUAAUAUUAUAUUAUAUACUGUAUAUUAACAUAAUAUUCAUGAUAUAAUAUUUGGUGGAAUCCUGCUAUUGCCAUAGAUGGUCUGCUCACACGCUUUCUUUUCCGCUCACAAGCAAAUCCAUUUCCUCUGCAGAGAAACGUUCUUUCUUACUACUUGGCAAA